AUACAAAUAUAUCAUGUUUGUUACAAGAAUAAGACAAAAAAUAUGACUAAAAUUGUCAAAUUUGUUUACGCGCGUUUUGAUCUUAUUUAUUUCCUUACUUUAUGUAGUAAAUUAUGUAAGCGCCGGAAUUGCUUAUAAAUGUGAUGAAGAUAAGAUUUGUGCUAUUCUUUGUUUUCCUUACAAAAGGAUAUUGUUUUCAUCGGAACUGCAUAUGCGGGUCUAUUUGCAAGCUUGAUACACUAAAGUAAAGUGAUAUAUUUUAAGCCCCACAAUUCAAAGACUAAGCGAAGGGUCAAGCUUAACUCAUGAAGAUUAAGUGCUUAAUUAUUGAAAUAUUCCACGAAAGUUGGAAGGAAUUUCCCUCGAGAUGAUACUAGAAGGAAGGAAGAAUAUUACAAUUCCAUUUGGCGAUGAUGGUGAUGAAGUGAAGAAUGAAAAAAGAAUAAGGCUAGGUUUCUCUCUUUCUCGAUUGUAUCUUGUUUAUGAUAAAAAAAUUUGUGGACUUAGGACAACUUAAGAAUAGGUGUGUGAUAUUUCAUGGAAUAUUUCCAUAAUUAACCACAAUAUACAUUUCAUGACAUUCGUCUAAGGGUGGAAAUAUUAUAAGUCAUCAAGUACACAUCAUCGUUCCAUAUUUCCAUAGUCAUAUAUUAUAUUCAAAAUUCAUCGUUAUAAUA